rnacentral:lncRNA from 1 species
GUAAAAUAACCACACAAAAAAUGACAAAGGAACUAUCAACGAAACAAAAAACAGCUCAAAUUACAUUAAAAAUUUGACCCACAAAGAAUUCACAAAAAUAAAUCCAAUGAAAACAAUGAUUGAUCAACAUCCAAAGAACAAGACCCUUCAAAAUUGAGCCAAAUGUAACAUCAAAGAAUGUAAAAUUCAAUAUUGACACAAAGAACAAAAUCCAGAAAAGAUCCUUAUUAACCACACAUAAAAUGACAAAGGAAUCAUCAACGAAAAAAAAAAAAGAAGCUCAAAUUACAUUAAAAAUUCAACACAAAAAGAAUUCACAAAAACAAAUCCAGUGAAAACAAUGAUUGAUCAACAUCCAAAGAACAUAUCCCUUCAAAAUUGAGCCAAAUGUAACAUCAAAGAAUGUAACACCCAAUAUUGACUAUCGCUACAAAGAACAAAAUCCAAAAAAGAAUGUAAUAAUAAAAGACAGCGGAAUUAUAAAAACAAAGAAAGCAGGGUCAAUCUAAGACCAUAAUUUCUAAAAUAACCACAUAUAAAAUGACAAAGGAACCAUCAACGAAACCAAAAAAGCUCAAGUUACAUUAAAAAUUCAACCCACAAAGAAUUCACAAAAACAAAUCCAAUGAAAACAGUAAUUGAUUGACAUCCAAGAACAAGACCACAAAGAUCUGUCAAUAUUCAUCCAAAUGUUAGAAAAAAAAAAUCACUUAGUGAUAGUCAUGAACUACUUAAUGAAGAGAACUUAUUAUCUCAAUAAAAAAACAAAACUGUUGAAAUAAGCAUACACAAAAAGAAAAACCACUAAUUACCAAUUAUCCUUAUUCAAUCGAAGCACAAUUUUUGUUAAAGAUGCAGCAAAAAAAGAACAGAGAGAAUUCACAUAAAUCAAUCUAGUGAACAGAAACAGAAAGAAUCCUUCAAGAUUCUAGCCAAUGCACUAAAGAUAUAAAAAUUAAAGAAACAAAGACAACAUGACACGCUCAGAGGACUAUUAUUGAAGUAAUCGUAUAUAAAAUGAAAGUGAACCCCCAAAAAAAUUUCAAAAAAGAUCCUGCAAAAUUCAUCCAAAUGCAACAUCAAAAAUGUAAUCAUAAGGACAAUG